GGGCAGGUACGGAAGUAGUCAAACCGGGUUGGCUGUAAACCAACCGGCCUUGUGCCUUCGGGGGUGCAAAUCCCUCCCUGCCCA
rnacentral:tRNA from 1 species